CAACCUGAAAGGUAUAACUUUUCCAAAUUCGGCAUCAUAUCAAAAUUUGGAGUCUCUAGCAAAGAACAGGAAAAGCUAAGAUCCAAAUAGGUAAGUUUAUUUAAUUCCUGCAUGCAUGCGUGCAAGAGUAGAAGAAGAUGGAGAUCAAAUAAAAUAAUUAGUUUAAGCUAUUUAAUUAAUUAAUA